rnacentral:lncRNA from 1 species
AGAGAGAGAGAGAGAGAGAGAGAGAGGAAUAGGCGUGGUAGAAACGGAGGCGAAUGGGUAAUCUACGGACCCCCGAGAAAUAUCUCAGUACUUACCGAUUCAGGAUGCUCAGUAGACUGUGCUCUCCUCCGUUAAUCCAAAAGCGUAGAGAAGUUUUUAACGGGGUAAAACCGCAACCUAACAUCAUUAGUCCACAUUAGAAGUAAUCUACGGCUGAUUCAUGUGAGAGAACAGGGCAAGUAACAAAGCGGUUAUUGGGAGAAUGUAAAAUCCCGGUGACGAUCCCAACUCGACCAGCUGAACACUCCAUUUCGCCUCUUUUGAUCUGCUAGGGUUUCUUUCAUGUGCGAAGAAAUCCUAAACUAGGGUUUCUCAACUUGAAGCAACAUGCUAAACUUAUCAUUAUUCUACUCGUGGCUACGCCAGGUCGCUACCUAAUAUUUCAUCCCUCCCUUGAAUAUUUGGAGGCUAAUCAAUUGGUGUACGAUGUGUUUAUAUCGCGAUUUAAUUAUAAUACCACUGGGCAUUGAUUGCUUUGGAUUUUUGUCAACCCCAGACUAAUUUUGCAAGACACUCCAAUUUGUCGGAGAAUAUUAAAGGGCCUCCACCCGAGUGGACUGUAUUGGCAACCAUUUAGCUGGGUCUACUGGGCCAUAGGAACUCUUUCUUUGAUUUCCGAACAGACGAUGGCAGAAGCAGUCUUAAUCGAGGACAAAAAGAGUAUGAGCUGUCCAUUUGUCGGGCACAUUAUUCCUACAAAUGGAAAAUGACAACCUGCCACUCUUUCAUAUGAACAAGAUUCAACAGAGACGCUAAUUUUGCAACAAGUAUGCUGGUUUUCCGGCUGAAGUCUCUGAAUGGUUCAUUCUAGCAUAUGUAAACGGCUGAUUUAAGCCAUCGCGCAUCUCUGCACAGUGGUGGUGACAGACUUUGGAGCAAUUUGAACGUUACGGAAGAUUGCAGAAAAUGGUAGUACCCCACCGUCAACACGCGCUACAUCGUCUGAACGCCAGGACUUUGACCUCUACGCCCGCCGUAAGCAAUGCCGCUGGUCGGUCGGUGAGAUGUCGACGUGGCCUCAGAUGUCAUCGUAAACCAGCAAAAACCGGUCAAACUUCCGGAUCUCGGUGAGAUAGCGACUAACUAAAGUUGUGAUUUUGGGUAAAUUAAAUUAAAAUUAGAUGGAGUUUAGG